rnacentral:tRNA from 1 species
GCCCUGGUCGCACAAUGGGUGAGUAUUUCACUGCUAAUGGAAAGGGUGGUGGUUCAAACCCACCCCGCAGCU